rnacentral:rRNA from 1 species
UACAGAGGGUGCGAGCGUUGUUCGGAAUUACUGGGCGUAAAGCGUGCGCAGGCGGUUAUGUAAGACAGAUGUGAAAUCCCCGGGCUCAACCUGGGAACUGCAUUUGUGACUGCAUAGCUAGAGUACGGUAGAGGGGGGGAUGGAAUUCCGCGUGUAGCAGUGAAAUGCGUAGAUAUCUGGAGGAACACCGGUGGCGAAGGCGGCAUCCUGGACCGAGAUUGACGCUGAGGCGCGAAAGCCAGGGGAGCAAACGGG